UACGAAGGGGGCUAGCGUUGCUCGGAAUCACUGGGCGUAAAGGGUGUGUAGGCGGGCGUUUAAGUCAGUGGUGAAAUCUCCGAGCUUAACUUGGAAACUGCCAUUGAUACUAUUCGUCUUGAAUUCUGUUGAGGUGGGCGGAAUAUGUCAUGUAGCGGUGAAAUGCUUAGAUAUGACAUAGAACACCUAUUGCGAAGGCAGCUUACUACGCAUAUAUUGACGCUGAGGCACGAAAGCGUGGGGAUCAAACAGG
rnacentral:rRNA from 1 species